rnacentral:rRNA from 1 species
ACUCACCAGGUCAGGACACGGUAAGGAUUGACGGACUGAAGGCUCUUUCUCGAUUCCGUGGAAAGUGGUGCAUGGCCGUUUUGGUUGGUGGAUCGAUCCGUCUGGUUAAUUCCGUUAACGAACGAGACCUCGGCACUCCGAAUAGCGCGGCGGACGUCGCGGCCUCCGGGCCGUCUUCCGCACGAGCUUCUUAGAGGGACCGUCCCCCGCCGGGGAAGGAGGUGCGAGGCAACGACAGGUCUGUGAUGCCCUUAGAUGUUCUGGGCCGCACGCGCAUUACACUGACGCGUCCAACGGGUGACUCCCGACCCGAAGGGGCCGGGGAAUCCGCAAGGCGCGUCGUGAUGGGGAUUGAACGUUGCAAUUGUUGUUCACGAACGAGGAAUUCCUAGUAGGCGCGGGUCAUCAACCCGCGCCGAUUACGUCCCUGCCCUUUGUACACACCGCCCG